UCUAGAAUAUUUCUACCCUAACUGAAAUGCUUUACUUGCUUUUAUUGUUUGAUGAUACAGGUGUCGAAUACAAGCGCAUGGCUGGAGAUGUGAGGGAAUGGCAUGCUGAUAAUUCUCCUCAAACAGCUGCUAUAAUGAUGGUCAUAUCGGAUAAUGUGGACAUCAUUUCAAUUGAGUGGCUCUGGGAAAGCUUACUUGCAGGUCCUCUCACGAAGCACAGUCUUCUCAGCGAAAGUGAAAGCAGUGUAUCUACCGCAAUGUUUCAUUGCAAAUUGUGCCGCUUUGAUACCAUAAGCAUUGAUAAUUUCAGGGCACAUCUCUUAAGUGAUGAAAAACAUGCGCAAGAAG